AGGUCUUAUAUUCAACAAUGAUUUUAAAUUGCAAAUUUAAAGGAGGGGUUUCCCUAAGACCUA
rnacentral:tRNA from 1 species